rnacentral:misc_RNA from 1 species
GAUGAAGAACGUAGCGAAAUGCGAUAAGUAAUGUGAAUUGCAGAAUUCAGUGAAUCAUCGAAUCUUUGAACGCACAUUGCGCCCGCUAGUAUUCUGGCGGGCAUGUCUGUUCGAGCGUCAUUUCAACCAUCAAGCCCUUUAGCUUGUGUUGGGGACCUGCGGCUGCCGCAGCCCCCGAAAUGCAGUGGCGGGCUCGUUGUCACACCGAGUGCAGUAAUCAUUCUUCUCUCCGGGCGUGGCGGCGGGUUCCGGCCGUAAAAUCACCAAUUUAUCAAGGUUGACCUCGGAUCAGGUAGGAAUACCCGCUGAACUUAAGCAUAUCAAUAAGCGGAGGA